GCCGUCGCCGGCGUCGUGGUCGCGCCCUCCUGCGCCUCGCGGUGCCCUCCCGAUGCCCGCUCUGUCCCCUGGUACCGCCUGCUUUGCUGGGUGUUUGCGCUUCCCGAGCCGCGUCUCGGCGCUGUGUCGCACGGCGCGUCCGUGUUCUGCAGAGCGCCCCGCCUCGCGUCGCCCUGACUGGGUCCCAGGAUUUCGGGGGGGUGAACGCCUUCUCCUUGGCACCCGGGCGCUCGGUCCGCAGCUGCCCGGGACGCAGCUGCCCGGUGUCAGUCCCGGGAGACGCUGCUGAGCUCUGCCCUGCUGGCCGGCGCUGGUGCCCCGCGGGGCACAUGACGGGAGGCGUCAGAGGCUCAGGCUGCCCGGCCCAGCCCGUGGCACGAGCACCUCUGGUUUCAGUGACCUGCUGGACGGGGACGCGUGAGUCCGCAGGGCUCCCGUGUUGGCGGGAACCCUCCGAGUGGAGCCCUCUCCUCCUGCAGAGGAGGGAAGAGGUGACCGGGGUUCCAAGCCUGCGUCCGGACUCAUGGGUCAGGCUGUGUGUUUUGUUUUGCGAGACUUCUCUUCAUGUGACCGCCACCCUGCCCCAGCUCCGGGGCACAGGGCCCCCAAGUGUAACUCCCAACCCGGGGGACGUCCCACAUACCAGUGCGGGUUCCCCCAAAUCAGAGAAUGAAUCCUAAGGGGUCAGAGGCCCAGUAGGAACUGUUUCCUGAGAGGUACAGCUCUGGGAGGCAGGAGGGACGAGUGGGUUGCCUUGGGCCCCGCUUUCCAGAGGAAGUUCUAUAGAGCAUGUCGUGAGGUGGGUACAACAUGGGACAAAAUUAUGAUCCACCAAAAGUGCAGCCGCUUAGGUAAUACUGCUUCAGGGGGAAGCAGAUCAUGUAGAAAGUGCACGGAAAGAACAAAGACCCUUUAUUGGAAGAGAUAAGUCAGGAGGGCCUGGUCACCCCCCUUGGUGACUGAUGUCUAGACUUUACUGGACCGAGUGGUACCCAUUAGAGUUUCUUGCCUAUCCCCUGGGGAGGCAGGUAGGCCUGGUCUCUGUCUUUGGCUUGAGGCCUGGCCUUCAGCGAAUGUGCGCCCAGCCCCAGCUGUGGUAUGUUCUCACUGCGGGCACUGACUCCCUCGAGGGCCCAGCCCUGACUGUAGUUCUUUCUAAUUGAGCUGUCUCUAAUUCCAGGACUUCAUUGACGGCUUCCUCUCGGCCUGGCCUUGGCCUGCUCCUGUUGUGCUUGUGUUAAACCUAGGUGGCAGAGGGCUACGCCCCAGGCGGCUUCACCUGAGCAGACUGCGCUUUGCUGGUGUAUUUAGUGCACAGAAACUGACGAUAUAAACAAGUAACCCCCUCCCUUUACAGCAACUGUGGGCCCACCAUCGUCUGAGCAAUGGGUCAGCGGGUUCUUCAGGCAUGCUCUGUGCGGGUGUGAGCGCCUGUUUCCAUGUGAGACAGGAUAUUCAACUGAGAGUGCGUACGGGCAGGCUGGCCUAUGGGGGCAGACUCCUGACUUCAGAUCGCAGCUCUGCUAUUUCUGAUGUCUGGGACUUGGACUGAUCUGUGUGUGCUGGAUACAUGUGAACUAUUACUUGGAAAUGGGAAGUUCAGUUUCAAAUUCAAGGUGCUGCUUACUACACUUUUGCAGCCUGCAAAAUACAAUCACGUGUUUACAUGAAAAUAACUCGCACGGUACCCUAUAUUUAUACUUCAGCUUCCAGGAUGAUCCUGAGCUAUUUGUCAUCUCUACUUUGUGUGCUGGACACAAAGCUGGAAAUAAAAGUUAGGGUACUUUCUGAAUUGUGGAAUAAAAUAAGUUACUCUUGGCAGUGAAUGCCAUGGUGACUAAGAACUGA